GGGUGCUGCACAGCUUCAAGCACACUGGGAAGCUGGGCUCACCUCUUUGCUUCAUUCUGCCAGUGCCGAGGACUUCAUUGAGGCUCUUGCAAAAUACCUCGGACCUUCCGAGAGGACAGGCAUCAUCCUCUCAACCAUGACAGAGUUCCACCACUCAUCGACCUGCCAUCAGCAGGUGUCUCUCAGCAUGUUGGAGGUGAUUGCAAGAGACCCUGACCAGUGGCUGAUGGAUGUGCCAAACAUCGUGAACCACAUCUACCACACCGGGUUGGUGGUGGACACCCAAACCCAGCACAGCCUCCACACCCUGCUUCUCCUGGUGGCUGACAGGAGCCCUGGGCAGGUGGUCACAACGCUGCUGCAGAUCGCUCCGCCAGGAGAGAGGUACUGGCCCCAACAGCCCCUGUGGGGACAGGGACCCUGAGACCCUCUGGCUGCCAAACACAAGGAACACUGCAGGACCCCACCGAGGAGUGGGGCCCUCCAUCCCACCACGCUUUCCAGCCCUGGUGGGGGUCAUCCAGACCUGCAACAGCCAGAGUCAUCCCAGAGCUCUCGGGUUGGUUUUCCCAAGGUAUGUUGGUUAAGAGUCUUUUUUCCUUGAAAGCCUGUGCCAGAAGCAGAAGAAAAUGCCUGAGUUUGCCAUCUCAGGUUUCUCAGAGUUGUUUAUUAUUUCUUAUCUCUCAGUUCUUUCGGUGUCCAGCAAAGGUCCUUGCUGCAGCAAGAGCACAAGGUGACUCCCCCCAGGUUGGGAGGGCUUGGACCUUUUGUACCUUUUCUCUGACCCAACCACCAUGCACUGCGUAUUUUUUAUUUACAAUUAAUUACCAGUACCUACUACCUAUGUCAGACAUGUCACUUCUAUCCUAAACCAAUCCCCUGUGACCCACUACAGCAGAACAUGGAGGACAAGAACAAGAAGGAAGAAGGACAGGGCCACAUCCUGAUUCCUCCAUCUUGCAUUCCCUGACUCCAUUCUAAAAUCCCCAAAUUCUACAUUUUCACCCUGUGACAAACUCAACCACUACUCAUUUCACACUCUUAUGGUCUGCAAUUCUUCAUGCAAUGUUGGUCAUCUUUCCCAUGGGC